GUUGGAUGUUGCGGCGCUAUGACACGUUCAGCAGGUUGUUUUUAGUAAAUGUGGUGCAGGGCAAAGCAGAGAUUUCUCGAAAUGAAUUAUGUCAGACUCGAAAACACUGGCAGCACGGGUUGAAUUGUGCGGAAUUUUUCCAGGAUCAACAAAAGAUGAUGUUUGCUUGGCAAAAUCACAGUCACAUGGUUGGUAAGUAAAUGAAAAUAUAAAGAAGAAGGAAACUUCUUCAGGAAAACAUGUUCUUUAUUAAAACACAAUUAAACUAGUUAUUUAUUGAAACACACUGCAAAGUAGCACAAAAUGUUUCUUCUUCCAAAAUGUAUACAACACCAGUGAUUGAUUCAAUCAAGUACAUCUUCAAAUUUAAUUAAUGUAAACAUUCUAUUUGCCUUAUAAAUUAAAGAUGCUUGCAUCCAAGCACAUAAAAUUGCUCCAUGUUACAGACUACAAGACAGAUGUGUUUAUAGGAACAAUCCUUUUCACCACUACAGAAAAGAAGCACAGUGUUUAUACAUGUAAUAAUGUGUUUACAUAUUUCUGCUUCACAAAAGAGAACCUCCACUUACUUAUAUUGUCUAUAAACUUUGUCCAUAUCAUGCACAAGAUGUUUAGCUGUAAUAUAUGACUGCAGUCGCAUACGGCAAUACAUUUUUUUUUUUUCAUACAUCCUGAAAAUGAUAAAGUCUCUCAGUCUGGGAGAGGAAUUUCCACAACCUCAUGCUUUCUGAUAUAUAUCAUCUCUAUUAUGCCAUCAA